rnacentral:rRNA from 1 species
UACGGGGGGGGCAAGCGUUGUUCGGAAUUACUGGGCGUAAAGGGCUCGUAGGCGGCCAACUAAGUCGGAUGUGAAAUCCCCAGGCUUAACCUGGGGACUGCAUCCGAUACUGGAUGGCUUGAAUCCGGGAGAGGGAUGCAGAAUUCCAGGUGUAGCGGUGAAAUGCGUAGAUAUCUGGAGGAAUACCGGUGGCGAAGGCGGCAUCCUGGACCGAGAUUGACACUGAUGAGCGAAAGCUAGGGGAGCAAACGGG